rnacentral:snoRNA from 1 species
GAUCCAUUGUGUGGACAUUUUUUAAUCAACAUUUUGAAGUGUUUCCACACCUCAUAGAAGCUUUCUCCUUCCAUCUAUCUAAAGGCAACAAUCUCUCUCCUUAAUUAGACU